CUGGUGGCGAGUGGCGAACGGGUGAGUAAUGUAUCGGAACGUGCCCAGUAGCGGGGGAUAACUACGCGAAAGCGUAGCUAAUACCGCAUACGCCCUACGGGGGAAAGCAGGGGAUCGCAAGACCUUGCACUAUUGGAGCGGCCGAUAUCGGAUUAGCUAGUUGGUGGGGUAACGGCUCACCAAGGCGACGAUCCGUAGCUGGUUUGAAAGGACGACCACCCACACUGGGACUGAGACACGGCCCAAACUCCUACGGGAGGCAGCAGUGGGGAAUUUUGGACAAGGGGGGAAACCCUGAUCCAGCCAUCCCGCGUGUGCGAUGAAGGCCUUCGGGUUGUAAAGCACUUUUGGCAGGAAAGAAACGUCAUGGGUUAAUACCCCGUGAAACUGACGGUACCUGCAGAAUAAGCACCGGCUAACUACGUGCCAGCAGCCGCGGUAAUACGUAGGGUGCAAGCGUUAAUCGGAAUUACUGGGCGUAAAGCGUGCGCAUGCGGUUCGGAAAGAAAGAUGUGAAAUCCCAGAGCUUAACUUUGGAACU
rnacentral:rRNA from 1 species